UGGCGGCGUGCUUAACACAUGCAAGUCGAACGAGGGAAUUGAAAGCUUGCUUUUGAAACCCGAGUGGCAAACGGGUGAGUAACGCGUAGGCAACCUGCCGUUGAGAUGGGGACAACAUCCCGAAAGGGGUGCUAAUACCGAAUGUUGUGGUGAAUCCGCAUGGAUUUACUACUAAAGAUGACCUCUAUUUAUAAGUUAUCGCUCAACGAUGGGCCUGCGUCUGAUUAGCUAGUUGGUGGGGCAACGGCCUACCAAGGCGACGAUCAGUAGCCGGUCUGAGAGGAUGAACGGCCACAUUGGAACUGAGACACGGUCCAGACUCCUACGGGAGGCAGCAGUGGGGAAUCUUCCGCAAUGGGCGAAAGCCUGACGGAGCAACGCCGCGUGAGUGAAGAAGGCCUUCGGGUCGUAAAGCUCUGUUGAAGGGGACGAAUGUCAAGACUAUCAACAACGGUUUUGAAUGACGGUACCUUUCGAGGAAGCCACGGCUAACUACGUG
rnacentral:rRNA from 1 species